CCCCUAGACGUUCUGGGCUGCACGCGCGCUACAAUAAUACGCACAGCGAGUAUCACCGAGCUCGAAAGGGCAAGGUAAACAAUAGAAAAGGUACUGUAAUGGUUAUAGAUCCUUGUAAUUAUUGAUCUUCAACGAGGAAUUCCUAGUAAGUAUGUGUCAUCAUCACGCACUGAUUACGUCCCUGCCCUUUGUACACACCGCCCGUCGCCCCUACCGAUUGAGUGCUCCGGUGAACAAUUUGGACUGCUUUGAUUCGAUUAGAAUUUGAAGCGGAAAGUUUAGUGAACCUUAUCACUUAGAGGAAGGAGAAGUCGUAACA
rnacentral:rRNA from 1 species